GCUGUGAUUGGGCAGCCAGGGGCCGGGCUCCAUGGGCGCGGAGCUGCCUGGCUCCGAGCGACCUCUUCUUAAGAACAUGAAGUAGUGGCUGUUUUUUUUUACUACACGGAGUUGCCAACGUUUGUGCGAUUUGCGGUCCAACUGUGGUGCGGCGAUCACAAUUUAUUUUUUUUUAUUAUUAUAUUUUUUUCUCGGGAUUUUUUUUUUCGGGAAAAAAAUCCCCCGUGUGUGUGUGUGAUGUUGGACAUGGGAGAUAAGAAAGAAGUGAAGAUGAUCCCCAAGUCUUCGUUCAGCAUAAACAGCCUGGUGCCCGAAGCGGUGCAGAGUGACAGCCGCCAGCGCGCUGGCCCCGAGCACGAUGACAAGCCAUGCUUGCCAGCUCUCGACACCAAGCCGGAGAACGCCGGCGGCAAAAGCGAGAGCAGCUCGGCGGAUCCAGUCGGCUCGGACGACAAGGACAAGCCCGAGGAGAAGAAGGCCGACGGCAAGGAGGCGGACGCCGGCAAGGAGGGCGAGAAGAAGAACGGCAAGUACGAGAAGCCCCCGUUCAGCUACAACGCCCUGAUCAUGAUGGCCAUCCGUCAGAGCCCGGAGAAGCGGCUCACCCUCAACGGCAUCUACGAGUUCAUCAUGAAGAACUUCCCGUAUUAUCGGGAGAACAAGCAGGGCUGGCAGAACUCCAUCCGACACAACCUCAGCCUGAACAAGUGCUUCGUCAAGGUGCCGAGGCAUUACGACGACCCUGGGAAGGGCAAUUACUGGAUGCUGGACCCAUCGAGCGACGAUGUCUUUAUAGGCGGCACCACUGGCAAGCUCCGCCGGAGAUCCACCACCUCUCGGGCCAAGUUAGCUUUCAAGCGGGGAGCGCGCCUCACCUCCACCGGCCUGACAUUCAUGGACAGGGCAGGUUCCUUAUACUGGCCAGUCUCGCCAUUCCUGUCCCUCCAUCACCCCCGAGCCAGCAGUACCUUGAGCUAUAAUGGAACCACCUCACCUUAUCCCAGCCACCCGAUGUCCUACAGCUCGGUAUUAACUCAGAACUCUCUGGCAAACAACCACUCCUUUCCAACUUCAAAUGGCUUAAGUGUAGAUAGACUUGUGAACGGAGAAAUUCCUUAUGCCACCCACCACCUAACGGCUGCAGCCGCCUUGGCUGCCUCGGUGCCGUGCGGUUUGUCUGUUCCAUGCUCCGGCACGUAUUCGUUAAACCCCUGCUCGGUGAACCUUCUGGCAGGACAGACAAGUUACUUUUUCCCCCAUGUUCCUCAUCCUUCAAUGACUUCUCAAAGCAGCACUUCAAUGACGGCUAGGACAGCAUCGUCCACGUCUCCACAGGCGCCUUCAACUCUCCCCUGUGAAUCUCUAAGACCUUCUUUGCCAAGUUUCUCCACAGGACUUUCUGGAGGACUUUCUGACUACUUCACACAUCAAAACCAGGGGCCCUCUUCAAACCCUCUAAUACACUAACAAAUCCCUUCGAACAGACUCUUGUCUCUGUGUUUCAAAAACACAAUGCACGUAUUCGAUUGUCUUUUGAACAUUACGCAUUUCUAGCACUAUCGACACCCAGCGGCUUCUCCUCUCACGGUGUAAACCCCAAGUCCCGGAGCUCAACUUGGCUCCAGAGAAAGGAGUGGACUCAAUUCCACUUGGCUAGGAGCAGAAUCGGCUCCCUGAUUUACACCAGAAAACUUUAGCGCCUGGAAAUCGCAUGGCACUGACCCUGCCAUAAUAAGAAGGCGGAUGCGUCGACGAUCAGAAAGGUGUACGCAAUUUAUCAGACAAUGUCGACUUAAAAGGAAAUCGGUGUUUAAGUCACAUGCUUCACUUUUCCAAUCAGCAAAACUUUGAGUGGUCAUGUUCAAACACAUUUGUGUGAAUAAAAUAUAUUGUUUAAUUGGUUUAUUGAAUAAUUGGUAAAAUGCAAAAAAGAGUAAGGAAUAAAAAUUUCGCUAUUUUGUGAGUAAUUAAUUUGACUUUUAGAAACGGUAACCAAGGUUAGCUUUGAAAUUGUAUGUGUCCGUGAAUCAGUUCAAGCUCUAUGUAGUAUUGGUUUGUUAUGAGAUACGGUGGAUUCAUUAUUAUUUGGCAAAGUAAAUGUGUUUGGAGUAUGAUUGAAAUAAUAUUUAUCAGCAAAACUUUAACAGCAUUAUCGUUGCAUUUUUAAUGCAAUUUAACAUUUUGACACCUGGAAUAUCUGAUAGACAUUCCAGUCGUUCAGGCUGCGUUUUCUUUUUAACAUGCUGCAAGGUUGUUUUAACCAUGUUGGGACUGCGCUACUAUUUAUUGUUCGGACACAUGCAGACGAAGUCCGCUAAAGAACACAUUUGAUGCUAUUAACUGGGAGUUUAAACGUUCAAUGAAUAUAAUAAAGCGAUUGAGCGAUAUUUGUAUGUUUGGUCUCAGGGAGUAAUAAUUUAGCUCUACCUCUUACGUUUAACUGCUCUUAAAUAUUCCAUUUUUGUUUCGCUAAAAUGGGCGCCUAUGUGUGCAUCGACUAAACAAAUUAUUGGUGCAUGUUUUACAAGUAUGCCUAGCAGCAGCAAUCAACUGCUCUCACUCCAGGGAUUUGAUUUGAGAAAUAAUGAAGGUGGGAUUUGCCAAACCUCGGUGCACCAACAGAUUUUAAAUCAGAAAAUGGCAUGGAAUAUAUAGAAUGAACAAUCGCUUUGCAACGGGAUAUGUUUUUUUGAUGAAAUUUAAAGUUAGCGGUCCCUUUAAAUUGGAAAGUAUCGGUCUGGUCAAUCCAUAUCCAGUUGCCUCGUCUACCCUUAAAACCAGAAAUGCGCACAUUUGUUCACCGCCCUGCCCUUCAAGGUCCUCGCCAUCGAAACAAAGGGCGUAGUCGAUUUUACAACACAGCAGUAACAGGAAGUGGAAUCAGCAUCGAGAAGACUUUUUUUUCCCUCCUUCUGGAAAUAGACUUAACCUGAAAUGGUUCAAACUGUAUAAGGGAGGCUAAGGAAAUAUUGAAGUCCAAGAGAAAACCCCAUGAUCUGAGUGAUGCCAAUAUUAAAACAUUAUUGAAAUAGCGUAAAUAAGAAAGGACUCUUCUGAUAAGUUCCGGAAAUGAAAAAUGUACUCCUAUGUAAUUACUUUGUAGAAAUCAUUUGGGACUCGGUGGGAUUUUAUUUGCGGAAGCAGUGUAAAUAACGUUCGAUUCUGAAUGGCGAACCAAUGUGCGUAAAACCUGGGCCUGGUGCUCAACAUUACAGGCAGCAUCGUUGGGGAGAAAACACAUCACCAAACUCUCAUACCCAACAUGGUCUAGACUAUACAUUAGACCAUAAAAAUCGUAGUUUAAAAUAGACUAAUUUUAAGAUUAUUCACAUUAACCAAAUGCCGAGUUUAAAUAUCAAAUUCGAGUAUUGCUAACAAACUGAUGGAGCUCAACAAGCCGACUUUCUCCAACAGUUUCUGUUUUUGAGACAACAAAUGACAUGCUCAGUAAGAGACCGAGACUGUAAGGACUGUAGGAUUUGAAAUAAUAAUUGCUAUUUUCUACCAACUUUAUUCUAAAUUACUCAUUCACCUCGGUUAAAAUAAACUACAACUGAAAUCGAAUUUGAUGUUUAAAAUACGUUUAUAGUGCCAAAAAAACCUACUGUUGAUAGCAUUGCGUAAACAUGUCAACCACACAUUUAGAAUGAGUCAUUUAUCGGGAAUUGGUCACAAAUUAUACGAGGUUUAAUUUGUAUUGAUUUGCGUGUUUAUCUAUUUGUGAAAAUUUUACGUAAUUGCAUCCAUAGUCAUUGGCUUGGUUUGAUAUUACCGUAUUGUUUUGAAACAAACUCCUUAUUAUCUGCGAAAAAUUGGCACAUGUUACAGUUGAGGUAUUAUAUCGAUGGUAGAUUGUCAUCAGCCUUGGUAAGGAUGACUGCGAGAAACAAAUGAACGAAAGUGUUCAAAUUUAAAUGCAAGAUUUUGAAGCGGAAAAUCAUAAUCAAAAUAAUUUUGUGAGAACUUUUUCCCAUUUAUAAGAGGUGUCUCUUAAAACAUACCUGCCCGAGCUAUUUUCAUAGCCGGAAGGGUAAAGGAGUAUUUCCACUUUAUGAGAACGUUUCUUGUGUGCGCAUUGAAGACAUAAAUUGGUGUUAACAGACGGUCCCACGUUUCUAUGUUGUCGCUACUGUUUUUCAGCAAUUGGGAACUGACAUCACUUUAUUUAAAUGUCAUAACUUGAAAUAUCAGUUUCAAUUAAUUCAUUAGCUUUGAGGAAUUUGGAAAUUGCUAUCUAAGUACAGUUUUUUUCCCCCCCUUGAAAACACUAAAAUCACAGGGAGUUGCCCUGCAGAAUAUUGAUUGGAGAAAUUGUAUGUGGGGUAGCUUUUAACUGUAAUCUAUUUAACAGCUGGCAUAAACAUGGAAUUGAUCAAAAACAGAUAAUUUCAUUGAAAAUUGAUUACCCCUCGCAAUUUACUGCCGUUUAUGUGGUAAUGAUUAUAUUUUACACUAAAUUGCUUUAAAUUUGUUUUAUGCGCCGAAUCAGACUUAAAGAAAUGGUACGAAACUUUACGCAUUUUGCGUGUGGGCCUGUCUCUAGCCUUGUGAAUCUGUUCCUGUCUGUAUUUGGCCCACCGAUAUCUGCUUCUGUGUGGGGGUAUCUAUCCUUGUGUGUCCGUAUCUGCUCUGUGCAUAUUUGUUCCUGUGUAUCUUCCUUUGUUUGGCUGCUCCUGUGUGUGUGUAUGUGUGUGUGUGUGUGUGUAUUUGUGUGUGUUUGUGCUUUCGCGUAUACCCUGUGUGCCAGCCCGUGUGAAUCUGCCUCUGUGUAUAUACCUGCUUGUGUGUAUCUGUCCCUAUGUGUGUUGAUCUUCCGUGUAUCGCUACAACCUGUGGAGUUGGAGCUGGUUUGGGAAGCGCUGUUUGAAAGCGCAGAUCUUUUCUUUCUUCUGACUCGCCGACCCAAUAGGUUGAGCUAAUGCUGAGGGCGUCGUGUGAAUGAACUAGAAAACACUCGACAGAUCGUGAAUAAUCGUUUUAAUGAGUGUGUAAAGCAUGCGACGGGGUGCAGAGAGCUGUCGGGUUAAACAAACAACUUGUACCCUGAUGUAAUCCGAUUGUUAAAGUGCAAAGUGGUGUCAUUCCAGUUUUCCGUUCUGUUGGUUAAAACCACAGCUCCAACACGCGGGAGUCCAAUUGUCCCAAUUAAAGAAAAAUAACAAUAUUUUCUUAACUUGAGUGUGAUCUUGUUUAAUGUUAGUCUGUGGUUUAGCCAAGCAUCAGUUCAGACAAAAAGGUGAUUUGUGAGCGCACUACAGUCUUUAAUCAAAGCCCAAGUUAAUACGUAAUAUGU